ACGCACGCUGGCGGCAUGCCUAACACCUGCAAGUCGCACGAGACCUUCGGGUCUAGUGGCGCACGGGUGCGUAACGCGUGGGGACCUGCCCUUAGGUUCGGAAUAACUCCCCGAAAGGGGUGCUAAUACCGGAUAAUGUCUUCGGACCAAAGAUUUAUCGCCUUUGGAUGGGCCCGCGUUGGAUUAGCUAGUUGGUAGGGUAAAAGCCUACCAAGGCGACGAUCCAUAGCUGGUCUGAGAGGAUGAUCAGCCACACUGGGACUGAGACACGGCCCAGACUCCUACGGGAGGCAGCAGUGGGGAAUACUGGACAAUGGGCGAAAGCCUGAUCCAGCAAUGCCGCGUGAGUGAUGAAGGCCUUAGGGUUGUAAAGCUCUUUUACCCGGGAUGAUAAUGACAGUACCGGGAGAAUAAGCGCCGGCUAACUCCGUG
rnacentral:rRNA from 1 species